CUUUCAAAGCAGCCAACUCAAUCUUAAUAGGUGAAAUUCUGCAGAUUCCCCAACUUUCCCAGACUGCCUUCUCAAUGUUGGUGUAUCACAUGGGCUAUGAAAAUCUCAGGUUGGAAGACUACAGAGCAAUAUGCAUGGAAGGAGAUACAAAAUGGCAGAAGUUCAAGAUUGAACCUGGGACAUUCUCCUUAUAAUGUAUGUGCUUUACCAUUGAACUAUGGUUCUUUCCCAACCACUGGAAUUCAUGGUUAUGGUCAUGAUAUGUACUGUGUAUACGCAUGUUUUGUUGGCAUGUUUCGGAUUAACCUGGUCCAUAGAUGAUAGGAGAUGAAUAGAAUAUUUGUAGGCCCUUGAGACCAAAUCCUGAGUUCAGUGUGACUUAACUCCUGCUUCUAUACCUCAACACCAGCAAAAUGAUCUAUCUCAGUGGCUCUCAAUCUUUUCUUCAGGAUGGACCCCCUUUAAAUACCUUUGUGGCCACAGACCAUGGCCAUGGAGUCUCAAGACUAACUCAAGAUUUAAAUCAUAAGAUUUCUUCAAGUCUUCGAGGACCUCCUGGGACAACAUCACGGACCCCCAGGGGUAUGUGGACCCCAGUUUAAGAACCACUGAUCUAUCAUAUAGA
rnacentral:lncRNA from 1 species